UUAAGUUAGAAAGGGCGCACGGUGGAUGCCUUGACACUAGGAGUCGAUGAAGGACGGGACUAACGCCGAUAUGCUUCGGGGAGCUGUAAGUAAGCUUUGAUCCGAAGAUUUCCGAAUGGGGAAACCCACCAUACGUAAUGGUAUGGUAUCCUUAUCUGAAUACAUAGGGUAAGGAAGACAGACCCAGGGAACUGAAACAUCUAAGUACCUGGAGGAAGAGAAAGCAAAUGCGAUUUCCUGAGUAGCGGCGAGCGAAACGGAACAUAGCCCAAACCAAGAGGCUUGCCUCUUGGGGUUGUAGGACAUUCUAUACGGAGUUACAAAGGAACGAGGUAGACGAAGCGACCUGGAAAGGUCCGUCGUAGAGGGUAACAACCCCGUAGUCGAAACUUCGUUCUCUCUUGAAUGUAUCCUGAGUACGGCGGAACACGUGAAAUUCCGUCGGAAUCUGGGAGGACCAUCUCCCAAGGCUAAAUACUCCCUAGUGAUCGAUAGUGAACCAGUACCGUGAGGGAAAGGUGAAAAGCACCCCGGAAGGGGAGUGAAAGAGAUCCUGAAACCGUGUGCCUACAAAUAGUCAGAGCCCGUUAACGGGUGAUGGCGUGCCUUUUGUAGAAUGAACCGGCGAGUUACGAUCCCGUGCGAGGUUAAGCUGAAGAGGCGGAGCCGCAGCGAAAGCGAGUCUGAAUAGGGCGUUUAGUACGUGGUCGUAGACCCGAAACCAGGUGAUCUACCCAUGUCCAGGGUGAAGUUCAGGUAACACUGAAUGGAGGCCCGAACCCACGCACGUUGAAAAGUGCGGGGAUGAGGUGUGGGUAGCGGAGAAAUUCCAAUCGAACCUGGAGAUAGCUGGUUCUCCCCGAAAUAGCUUUAGGGCUAGCCUUAAGUGUAAGAGUCUUGGAGGUAGAGCACUGAUUGGACUAGGGGUCCUCAUCGGAUUACCGAAUUCAGUCAAACUCCGAAUGCCAAUGACUUAUCCUUAGGAGUCAGACUGCGAGUGAUAAGAUCCGUAGUCAAAAGGGAAACAGCCCAGACCGCCAGCUAAGGUCCCAAAGUGUGUAUUAAGUGGAAAAGGAUGUGGAGUUGCUUAGACAACUAGGAUGUUGGCUUAGAAGCAGCCACCAUUUAAAGAGUGCGUAAUAGCUCACUAGUCGAGUGACUCUGCGCCGAAAAUGUACCGGGGCUAAAUACACCACCGAAGCUGCGGAUUGAUACCAAUGGUAUCAGUGGUAGGGGAGCGUUCUAAGGACAGUGAAGUCAGACCGGAAGGACUGGUGGAGUGCUUAGAAGUGAGAAUGCCGGUAUGAGUAGCGAAAGACGGGUGAGAAUCCCGUCCACCGAAUGCCUAAGGUUUCCUGAGGAAGGCUCGUCCGCUCAGGGUUAGUCAGGACCUAAGCCGAGGCCGACAGGCGUAGGCGAUGGACAACAGGUUGAUAUUCCUGUACCACCUCUUUAUCGUUUGAGCAAUGGAGGGACGCAGAAGGAUAGAAGAAGCGUGCGAUUGGUUGUGCACGUCCAAGCAGUUAGGCUGAUAAGUAGGCAAAUCCGCUUAUCGUGAAGGCUGAGCUGUGAUGGGGAAGCUCCUUAUGGAGCGAAGUCUUUGAUUCCCCGCUGCCAAGAAAAGCUUCUAGCGAGAUAAAAGGUGCCUGUACCGCAAACCGACACAGGUAGGCGAGGAGAGAAUCCUAAGGUGUGCGAGAGAACUCUGGUUAAGGAACUCGGCAAAAUGACCCCGUAACUUCGGGAGAAGGGGUGCUUUCUUAACGGAAAGCCGCAGUGAAUAGGCCCAAGCGACUGUUUAGCAAAAACACAGCUCUCUGCGAAGCCGUAAGGCGAAGUAUAGGGGGUGACACCUGCCCGGUGCUGGAAGGUUAAGGAGAGGGGUUAGCGUAAGCGAAGCUCUGAACUGAAGCCCCAGUAAACGGCGGCCGUAACUAUAACGGUCCUAAGGUAGCGAAAUUCCUUGUCGGGUAAGUUCCGACCCGCACGAAAGGUGUAACGAUUUGGGCACUGUCUCAACCAGAGACUCGGUGAAAUUAUAGUACCUGUGAAGAUGCAGGUUACCCGCGACAGGACGGAAAGACCCCGUGGAGCUUUACUGUAGCCUGAUAUUGAAUUUUGGUACAGUUGUACAGGAUAGGCGGGAGCCAUUGAAACCGGAGCGCUAGCUUCGGUGGAGGCGCUGGUGGGAUACCGCCCUGACUGUAUUGAAAUUCUAACCUACGGGUCUUAUCGACCCGGGAGACAGUGUCAGGUGGGCAGUUUGACUGGGGCGGUCGCCUCCUAAAGUGUAACGGAGGCGCCCAAAGGUUCCCUCAGAAUGGUUGGAAAUCAUUCGUAGAGUGCAAAGGCAUAAGGGAGCUUGACUGCGAGACCUACAAGUCGAGCAGGGACGAAAGUCGGGCUUAGUGAUCCGGUGGUUCCGCAUGGAAGGGCCAUCGCUCAACGGAUAAAAGCUACCCCGGGGAUAACAGGCUUAUCUCCCCCAAGAGUCCACAUCGACGGGGAGGUUUGGCACCUCGAUGUCGGCUCAUCGCAUCCUGGGGCUGUAGUCGGUCCCAAGGGUUGGGCUGUUCGCCCAUUAAAGCGGUACGCGAGCUGGGUUCAGAACGUCGUGAGACAGUUCGGUCCCUAUCCGUCGUGGGCGUAGGAAAUUUGAGAGGAGCUGUCCUUAGUACGAGAGGACCGGGAUGGACGCACCGCUGGUGUACCAGUUGUUCUGCCAAGGGCAUAGCUGGGUAGCUAUGUGCGGAAGGGAUAAGUGCUGAAAGCAUCUAAGCAUGAAGCCCCCCUCAAGAUGAGAUUUCCCAUAGCGUAAGCUAGUAAGAUCCCUGAAAGAUGAUCAGGUUGAUAGGUUCGAGGUGGAAGCAUGGUGACAUGUGGAGCUGACGAAUACUAAUAGAUCGAGGACUUAACCAU
rnacentral:rRNA from 1 species